rnacentral:rRNA from 1 species
AUUGAACGCUGGCGGCAGGCCUAACACAUGCAAGUCGAGCGGAGCGGCGGACGGGUGAGUAAUGCCUAGGUAUCUGACUGGUAGUGGGGGAUAACGUCCGGCAACGGGAGCUAAUACCGCAUCCUAUCAGAUGAGCCUAGGUCGGAUUAGCUAGUUGGUGGGGUAAAGGCUUACCAAGGCGACGAUCCGUACCUGGUUUGAGAGGAUGAUCAGUCACACUGGAACUGAGACACGGCCCAGACUCCUACGGGAGGCAGCAGGGGGGAAUAUUGGACAAUGGGCGAAAGCCUGAUCCAGCCAUGCCGCGUGUGUGAAGAAGGUCUUCGGAUUGUAAAGCACUUUAAGUUGGGAGGCGUUACCAGCAGAAUAAGCACCGGCUAACUUCGUGCCAGCAGCCGCGGUAAUAC